rnacentral:lncRNA from 10 species
AUACCUGGAUCAGUAGGCACUCUACUGCAUCCCCAAAUUAGAAGUAGCUGUGCUUUUGGCUUCUGAACUGUAGACAGCUCUGGGGGACAGGCACCAAGUUGCCGCUGCUUUCCUCAGCCUCAGACCUAGAAAGGCCUGUCUCAGUGCUCAUCUUGGUAUACCCUGAUAGCUCCCUACAUCAGGAGCCCACAGGGGAGACUAAUGAAGCAAAGAUCGUUCCUGAAAACCUCCUGUACUCAAAAUGCCAUGCAGUGGCUCUGAAUAUACUCUUCUUCGUGUAUUCUCUCUUCUCCCCUCCCUCCCAUAUCCGUGCCCUUGUUUAGUUCCAGUUUCCAUUAGAAAUGCUAUUUGGGCAGCAAAUUUCGCAGAUUGGAUCCAUCUCAAUGCUGCCAUGCAAAGAAAACACAUCUGUCUGACUCUUCAUUUAAAAUAAGGGAAAAAAUUGAAAUAGCAAAAUGCUGUAGUCGCUCUGAGCUGUUUCCUAAUGAACCUGUUUGUCCCAAGAGCUGUAGUGAGGAGCUUCUCCUCGUUGGUGAGAAUUCUUUAUGCAUAUUAAUAUUAUUCAUGUUUUCCACGCGACUCCGUCUGACUUGCCCUCAUCCCAUCCUUUGAAUUCAUUUAAAUAAAAAUAAUUUAUGUGGACAUUCCUUCAGUCAGGAUUUUCUCUCCCCCUUUCUUGAAGACAUCCAUAAUAUUUCGUUGAUGCUUUGCGUCCAAACCAAAUCGUUAUGCUUUUGCAUACAUUAGGGCUUUAUAAAGAACAACAGCGACAUCUGCAUGUGCCGCAGUGCCAAGGAGAUAGGAAAAAUACCGAAAACAAAACUCUGUAUUGGCUUGGAGGCUGUCUGACUCUCUGUCUCCCUAGCAGCCCCUGACACCACCAUGGAUAGGAGUAAUUGUACAGUGUAAUCACAUCAGGCCUCAUCUGCAUAUUCAUAACAGAGACAAAGCUUUGGAGGAUAAGGGGGGAGCCGGGGUAAUUUAAAUAUAAAGCAGCAUCUCAUUUCCAAAUCAAGUUGUGCCAGUUAGACUGUGCACCAGGACUCAGUAUUAAGCCAACAUUGUUUUACAGUUUGGAAAUUGGAGUGAAGAAGAUGGAGAAGAGACUCACUAAAGAGGGGGUGAUACUACAUUUUCAUUCUUAACUGAGGAAAAACAAAGCAAGACAACAACAACGGCGACAGAAUAAAAAUGAAGUAAUAUUUGAAGAGUCACCAGUAGUGGCUAACCAGCUGCUGUUUUACCAGGAAUGAAAUAGCCCAUUGAGGGAGCUUUAAAAGCCCCCAAUUAAUAUGUUGUGCAUGUAUAAGAUCUACAAAGAACUCACUGUAUUCUUUCUCUCCCCACCAAGUCCCCCCCUCCCCAAGUACUCACAUAUUCCCUAACCACCACCUUUCUGUCCUGUCGGGUGCAGGGGGAAAAGAUCAGAGCUACAAAAUAAUUGACUAAUUGCUUCAAAAGUAACAACAUCCCUCUUCAAAAAGAAAGGACAAAAACAAACACAUACAAAAAGGUGACUGUUCAUUAAUGAAGGGAUAAAUUACCGAUGGCUUCUUCAUUCUCUUUAGUUCAUUACCCCCCAAAAGAAACAAAUAUAAUCCACGUGUUAAUAUUUCUUGUCUUCGUUUUCUUUGUUUCUAAUAUGAUGCUGUUUAUUAUAUAUUUUUAAGUGUUGGUAUUUGUAGAAGCCUCUGCUACUGCAUUCCCCAAAGAGCUACUAGUUUCAGCCCACUGGAGUUUAUAUUCCUUUAAUUGUCUAGUGCAGGAACAUUUCUGCUGUUUUGUAAAAUACACUGCUCUGCAGGAAUUAGAAGAAUCCAAGGUUGUAUCCAACUUCAAAGGUUUCCAAGUCAUAAUGAUUUUAGCAAAAGUAGAAGACAGAUCAUGGAACAAGUCCCCGUUUGAAGAUAAGCAUCAUAGGGACCUUUUUUUCUUCCCUCUCUCCCCAACUUUGUACUUCUCCUGGUUCUGAAUGCCCCUCACUAACACAGUUUAAUGAUAUGCAAAUGAAAUAUGCAUAAAACCAUUCUACUGUAUGAUGAUUAAACACUGGAGACAUUAACAGCGGAGGCUUCACUCUGUGUAAUAAUCCUUCCCGACCAUCCACUUUGAUUGCAGAGUUAUGGAAACCCAUAGCAGUUGGCAGAGAGAGCGAAAGAGAGAAGGAAGGAAAGACGCAGGGACACAUCACCCAUCUCGGUGCUUCUCCCACUGCAGGAGAGGUCCCCCCCUUUGUACUGCGUUCCUAUUGCUGUCUUUUGUAAUCCAUCCAUGCAGUCGCACCAGAGCGAUUAACGGAAAAAACCUCUUUUCUCUUAAUGUUUCAAAGCUCAUUAGCCAAACGAUUAUUCCUCAUUAACAGCGAAAGCUCAUUCAUUAAAAGGAAGAAUAUGCCCAAAAGAUGCCAGCGCAGCUAAUCCUGAGUCCCGUAACUGGGCUGUAAAUCCCAUACUACUUGUAUAUUCCAUGCAAAAGGGACACGCGCCAAUCCACAUUUUUUUUUAAGAAAGAAAAAGAAAACAGUUUAUGUGUUUUGUAAAAUCCACAAGAGCAGCAAUUAAUAUUCCCAUUGAAUCACUUUAUUUUUUUGUCUCUCCCUUUUGUUUCCAGCGCCUGCCCCUGGCUCAGCGCCCGGUGCCAACAGAACACCUUUCAGGAUCCACAGCAACGCAGACAACGGAACUCACAAGGGCUUCGGUUCUCAAG